rnacentral:rRNA from 1 species
UACGUAGGGCGCAAGCGUUAUCCGGAAUUAUUGGGCGUAAAGAGCUCGUAGGCGGUUUGUCGCGUCUGCCGUGAAAGUCCGGGGCUCAACUCCGGAUCUGCGGUGGGUACGGGCAGACUAGAGUGAUGUAGGGGAGACUGGAAUUCCUGGUGUAGCGGUGAAAUGCGCAGAUAUCAGGAGGAACACCGACGGCGAAGGCAGCACUCUGGGCCGGUACUGACGCUGAGGAGCGAAAGCGUGGGGAGCAAACAGG